rnacentral:rRNA from 1 species
UACGAAGGGGGCUAGCGUUACUCGGAUUGACUGGGCGUAAAGGGCGCGUAGGCGGCUUGUACAGUCAGACGUGAAAUUCCUGGGCUCAACCUGGGGGCUGCGUUUGAUACGUGCGGACUUGAGUUCGGAAGAGGGUCGUGGAAUUCCCAGUGUAGAGGUGAAAUUCGUAGAUAUUGGGAAGAACACCGGUGGCGAAGGCGGCGACCUGGUCCGAUACUGACGCUGAGGCGCGAAAGCGUGGGGAGCAAACAGG